CCUACGGGAGGCAGCAGUGGGGAAUUUUGGACAAUGGGCGCAAGCCUGAUCCAGCCAUGCCGCGUGCGGGAAGAAGGCCUUCGGGUUGUAAACCGCUUUUGUCAGGGAAGAAACGGUCUGAAUUAAUACUUCGGACUAAUGACGGUACCUGAAGAAUAAGCACCGGCUAACUACGUGCCAGCAGCCGCGGUAAUACGUAGGGUGCAAGCGUUAAUCGGAAUUACUGGGCGUAAAGCGUGCGCAGGCGGCUUUGCAAGACAGAUGUGAAAUCCCCGGGCUCAACCUGGGAACUGCAUUUGUGACUGCAAGGCUGGAGUGCGGCAGAGGGGGAUGGAAUUCCGCGUGUAGCAGUGAAAUGCGUAGAUAUGCGGAGGAACACCGAUGGCGAAGGCAAUCCCCUGGGCCUGCACUGACGCUCAUGCACGAAAGCGUGGGGAGCAAACAGGAUUAGAUACCCUGGUAGUCCACGCCCUAAACGAUGUCAACUGGUUGUUGGACGGCUUGCUGUUCAGUAACGAAGCUAACGCGUGAAGUUGACCGCCGGGGGAGUACGGCCGCAAGGUUGAAACUUAAAGGAAUUGACGG
rnacentral:rRNA from 1 species